rnacentral:piRNA from 1 species
CCAGUUUGUGUGCCAACCAUU